rnacentral:rRNA from 1 species
UACGUAGGGUGCGAGCGUUGUCCGGAAUUAUUGGGCGUAAAGGGCUCGUAGGCGGUUUGUCGCGUCGGGAGUGAAAUCCCUCGGCUUAACCAAGGAAGUGCAUCCGAAACUACAGAGCUUGAGUACUUAAGAGGAUCGCGGAAUUCCCGGUGUAGAGGUGAAAUUCGUAGAUAUCGGGAGGAACACCAGUGGCGAAGGCGGCGAUCUGGGAAGAUACUGACGCUGAGGUGCGAAAGCGUGGGGAGCAAACAGG